rnacentral:rRNA from 1 species
UACUCAGUUCGGAUUGAAGGCUGAAAUUCGCCUUCAUGAAGCUGGAAUUGCUAGUAAUGGCAGGUCAGCAUACUGCCGUGAAUACGUUCCCGGGCCUUGUACACGCCGCCCGUCACACCAUGAGAGUUGGGAAUACCCGAAGCCUGUGAGCUAACUGUAAGGAGGCAGCAGUCGAAGGUAGAAUCAAUGAUUGGGGUGAAGUCGUAACAAGGUAUC